AAGUCGUAACAAGGUUUCCGUAGGUGAACCUGCGGAAGGAUCAUUAAAGAGUUAGGGUCCUAGUGGCCCAAGCCUCCAACCCUCUGUUGUUAAAAGCUACCUUGUUGCUUUGGCGGGACCGUUCGGUCUCCGAGCGCGUUAACCUUCGGGUUGGCGAGCGCCCGCCAGAGUCCAACCAAACUCUUGUCAUUAAAACCAGUCCGUCUGGAGGUUAUAAAAGUUUUUAAUUUAAAACUUAAAAAC
rnacentral:misc_RNA from 1 species